rnacentral:rRNA from 1 species
AGCGAACGCUGGCGGUAGGCCUAACACAUGCAAGUCGAACGGCAGCACAGUAAGAGCUUGCUCUUACGGGAGGCGCGUGGCGGACGGGGGCGGUAGACACCGGAAACUACUUUUUCGUGUGGGCUAAUGUCGGGUAACUCCCGCUAAUACCGCAUACAACCUCCGGGUAAAAGCAGGGGUCCUUUGGACCUUGCGCGAAUGUAUGAGCCGAUGUCGGAUUAGCUAGUUGGCGGGGUAAAGGCGUACCAAGGCCACGAUCGGUAGCUGGUCUGACAGGAUGAUCAGCCACACUGGAACAGAGACACGGUCCAGACUCCUACGGGAGGCAGCAGUGGAGAAUAUUGGACAAUGGGCGCAAGCCUGAUCCAGCCAAACCGCGUAGGUGAAGAAGGCCUUCGGGUUGUAAAGCGCUUUUGUUGGGAGAGAAGAACAACAGGUUAAUACCCCGCUGUUCUGACGGUACCCAAAGAAUAAGCACCGGCUAACUUCGUG